UGGGCAACCUGCCCCUCUCUCUGGGAUAACCCCGGGAAACCCGGGAGCUAAUACCGGAUACUCCGGCUGGAUCGCAUGGUCCGGCCGGGAAAGGUCCGCCGGAGAGGGAUGGGCCCGCGGCCUAUCAGCUUGUUGGUGGGGUCAUGGCUCACCAAGGCGACGACGGGUAGCCGGCCUGAGAGGGUGACCGGCCACACUGGGACUGAGACACGGCCCAGACUCCUACGGGAGGCA
rnacentral:rRNA from 1 species